UCAUUUUGAGAUAUUUAUGAUCCCCUUAUUAAUGGGUGACCGUGAUGCUCUGGUGUGUGAUGCGGCAAUGGGGGAGGUGUGAGAUAUUUAUGAUCCCCAUGGCGGAGACGCUCUGGUGUGCCGACAAUAUCACUAUUGACCUUGAGGAGCAAGAAUGACCGCCAUCAACAUUCAGAACCCACGUCUUCUCAUCAAGGAGAUGGAGGUGGGAGGAGAGGUCCUGGAUACGCCAAGGGGAGCCUACGGGACGUCCCCAUGGCCGAUAUGCUGCGAUAGGAUGAAGGAUGGUGGGGUUCUUGUAGGUGGACUGAAGGAAUAUCUCAAAACAAUUAGGCGCUGCAGAAAAGGGUGGGUUUUAUUUUAUUGGUUGUGGAACAAGUUACAAUGCUGCCUUAGCUGCAAGACCCUUUUUGUGGAAGAACUGACUGGUAUUCCUGUGACUAUGGAGGUUGCAAGCGACUUGCUGGACAGACAAGGUCCCAUCUACAGAGAAGACGCCGCAGUUUUUGUUAGUCAGUCUGGAGAGACAGCAGAUACCCUCCUUGCAUUGCUCUUGAUUAUGCUCUAGAAAAUGGACCUCUCCGUGUUGGCAUCACGAAAUACUGUUGGAAUCACACUGUCUAGAAGAACGCACUGCGGAGUCCAUAUCAAUGCUGAUUGCCGGUACAAAGGCAUAUACAAGUCAAAUAGUAGCAAUGGUGAUGAUGGCGUUGGCUAUCGGAUCCGACCAAUAAUAUAUCUACUCGAGCUAGAAGGAAAAUUAUCAUCAGUGGACUUAACAACCUUUCAAGUACGUCGAACUUACUAGAUCCUUGUGCUAUGGCUGCAGUCAAGCAAAAAGGCUGUUUCUGACGCAUGCUUCAGCAAGCAGCAGUCGGUGAUCCAGCAGCUCCUCUCGCGCAAGGGGACGCCGCCGAUAGUGAUGUGCUCGAGGGGGGACGCCACCGCGCUGCUGUAUGCCCCAGUGGAUCCUGCAGAGUCAUUGAAGUUCCGGAGGUUGCAUGUUGUCUCCAGCCAGUGAUUAACAUAAUCCCAUUACAGUUGCUCGCGUACAAUCUGACUGUUCUCCAGGGAUUCGAUGUGGACCAACCACGGAAUCUGGAGAAGAGCGUGACCACGCAGUAGGUAGAGAGGUGGAAGUGGAUGAUGAGAUGCGCGAACGAUUUGUACCCCUAUGUCGUGUUGUGUAGGGUUCUAGGAGAGAGCAAGCCGGCUAUAGCUGUUGGUUAGUCAUUUUCUUUUGUGUAAUGUAAUUAUUACUGUUCUUGAGGUAGCUAGUACUAUCAUUACUCUACGUUAAACAAGUCGUUGUGAAAUGCAUGGUACAAAAGGUAUCAUUUGAGAAACAAGUGUGUUUUUCAUACCGAUUGGGCGAUAUAAAUCUCGUAAACUUGUAAUUCUGAUCUCUCAAAUUUGAGGCGUCUGGCAAAGGUACAAAAUCAAAACCCUCAAAAAUCUGACGGCAGAAAUUUUCCGACGAACAUUGUAUCAGAGUUUUCUCUCCUUAUUUCCUGUAAGAACAUGACGGUCAUUUCUUUUUACAGGGCAUUGAGCCCCCUGAUAUUCCAGUACAACAGUCUAAUACUCCAAAUUCUAAAACAGGAGCUGAGAUAUUCAUGUAUGACAUCUCGUCGGCGUCUUCUUCU